CCUUAUAGCUGCCAUUGGCUCAGAACUUGCUCAGUGUGCCUGUGCAUCUUGCUGUAGCUACUGGACAUCUCUGUUCUCUCCUGCUUUUCUUUCCUGACUAGGUGACCUGUCCAGGAAGGAUUAGACCCUGUACUCUCCACUCUUUCCUCACCUCCUUCCUUUUUUCUAUGCCUGGCGGGAGCUGGACAGUUUCAUCUCUUGCAUGUAUCGAAGGAUGAUCGCAGUGAUGUGGAGAGCAGCUCAGAGGAAGAAGAUGUGACCACCUGCACAAAAAGUCCCUGUGACAGUAGCUCCAGCAAUGGUGCCAAUCGGGUGAAUGGUCACAUGGGAGGCAGCUACUGGGCUGAAGAGUAAGGUGGUUGCUAUAGGGACUUCAGCACACAUGGACUUGUAGGGCCACUGGCAACAUACUCCUCUUGGCCCUUCCCAUAUCUACUCUUCUGUGAUUGGGAGACUGCAAGGCACUGAGGAGUAUCAAAGAAGCAAAUAUUUUCACUUUGAAAGAAAACUGCCAUUUUGUAUUUAAUAGCCUCCAGGUUCUUUCAGUAAUGUUAUUUGCUCUGUGUGUUUUUGUGUGUUUGUUGAUGUGCGUUUGUGCAUAUGCGUGAGUUUCAUUGCCGGGGUUGGGGCACAAUUGUGGACUGGGGCCAUGAGGCCUUCCCUGGUCCCCACUGAACCCACCUUAGUUCCACAUUUGGCUGCAUCUUGAAUUAUGCCAACUCCAGACUUCUCCUUCUUUUUUGCCCUUGGCUCUUGACACUCUAAACCCCUGGACCAUCUGAAUGGAGCAGCCAAGUUCAGUCCCACAUUUCUGUACUGUUCCUCUUUCACAGCUGGAAUAUGUCACAUGAUGAAGUUGUAUAGAAACAGAACCAUGGAUGGAUGGCCAGGAUUGCCGUGGUCCCUAGCUAGAUCCCCUUCCUAUCAAUCACCUGAUAGCAACAGGGACAGCUGCCAAUACCCUGCUCUUUACUCAAUGGUACCCAGGGAGGGAGCAUGGGAAGAGGGUGAGCUGAGGGCUGGAGGAGGGCAACAGCCACU
rnacentral:lncRNA from 1 species